UAGCAAGAGUUCCGGCAGUUGACGUCACGCAAUCCCAGCAUGCACCAGUCAAUAUCAAAACACCCAUCGGAGCUGAGCCAGAGUUAGCUAGCUAGCUACGUUACUAGCUAGUUGCACCUAUUGUAGAUAUAUAGCUAGCUAGCUAGCUACUUUAUUGAUCCCCAUGGGGAAAUCAUUUGCUGCCUAUUUCAAUAAACGCUUUGAUUCAGCAUGGUGGAUAGCUGCUGUGCACCGGGAUGCCAGAACCAUCGGAAAAAAGAUAAUGGGUAGCAUUUUAUAGGAUUCCUAGCUAAAGAUCCCGAGAGAAGAAGUAAAUGUAUUGCUUCCAUAAAACGUGCUAGAAGCAGACAGAACCAAACCGAGCGAUGGGAGCCCACAAACAAUGGAUUUCGGUUAUGCUGUGACCACUUCAUAUCAGGGGGAAAGAGUGACAACCCUCUGUCACCUGACUACGUUCCUUCAAUCUUCAAUCAUGUUCCAUCCCCGGAGAAGAGAAGAAAAAGAAGAAUGAGGUUAGACGUAGUCAACAGAAGACAGAAGAACAAACUUCAAAGAAUAGAGAAAGCAGCAAAGCUGUCAGCUGCAGCAGUAAUGGAUCUAACGGAUUGUCCUCAAGACAACAGCAAGCGUCCUACUGCAGACCAGAACCACGCACCAUACCUGGGGUGACACAGCUUUCACCAUUGCAGCCCUUUCCCUCUGGAACUCCCUACCCAUAUACAUCCGUGACUGUACUGACCUGGACACAUUCAAAACACACCUCUUCAGAUUAGCUUUCCACAUACAGUAGUCUU